AGCUCCAGUAGCGUAUAUUAAUGUUGUUGCAGUUAAAAGCUCGUAGUUGGAUUUCUAGCAGACAUGCGUGGUCCGGACCACUUUGUGGAGCUGAGUAUCGCUGUGUGUCUGUUAUCUUACUAGUUUCAGAUCCUCUGGGUCUUGACUGGUUCUUUACUUUGAAAAAUUAGAGUGUUUAAAGCAGGCUUGCGCAAUGAAUACAUUAGCAUGGAAUAUAACAUAAGACUUUGGUUUAUUUGUGGUUCAUAGCACUAGAGUAAUGAUUGAUAGGGAUAGUUGGGGGUGCUA
rnacentral:rRNA from 1 species